rnacentral:rRNA from 1 species
CCUACGGGAGGCAGCAGUGAGGAAUAUUGGUCAAUGGGCGAGAGUCUGAACCAGCCAAGUAGCGUGAAGGAUGACUGCCCUAUGGGUUGUAAACUUCUUGUAUAGGGGAAUAAAAUGAGGCACGUGGGGGAUUUUGUAUGUACCAUAUGAAUAAGGAUCGGCUAACUCCGUGCCAGCAGCCGCGGUAAUACGGAGGAUCCGAGCGUUAUCCGGAUUUAUUGGGUUUAAAGGGAGCGUGGGUGGGUUGUUAAGUCAGUUGUGAAAGUUUGCGGCUCAACCGUAAAAUUGCAGUUGAUACUGGCAGUCUUGCGUACAGUUGAGGUAGGCGGAAUUCGUUGUGUAGCGG